UACGAAGGGGGCUAGCGUUGUUCGGAAUUACUGGGCGUAAAGCGCGUGUAGGCUGCUUCGCAAGUCGGGUGUGAAAGCCCUGGGCUCAACCUAGGAAGUGCACUCGAAACUGCGAAGCUCGAGUCCUGGAGAGGAAGGCGGAAUUCUCGGUGUAGAGGUGAAAUUCGUAGAUAUCGAGAGGAACACCGGUGGCGAAGGCGGCCUUCUGGACAGUGACUGACGCUGAGACGCGAAAGCGUGGGGAGCAAACAGG
rnacentral:rRNA from 1 species